rfam:Puccinia sorghi strain RO10H11247 Scaffold_937, whole genome shotgun sequence.
GCUGGCUUAGAUCAAUGGUAGAUCGUCUCCCUCCUAAUCUUCCGGUCAGGUGUAGAGGAGAAGGCUGCGGGUUCGAGUCCCGUGGUCAGUG